rnacentral:lncRNA from 1 species
GCAGACUCACAGAAACAGAUGGCUAGACAUGGAAGAAAGGCUAGAUUUUGAUUUUUUGCUUUAUAAAUUCAGCAAAUUGGGCACAGCAGCAAUAGUCAGAUUCUAUCUGGUUCACUCCCAGCAAACCAGACUCUUGUGGAUCUGCACGGCUUCACGUGGCUUCAUUUCUUUUCCAAGAUGAUCUCAUCUUGCAAAUGGGCUUUCAUCCUGAUCAGGUAAAGAGAAAAGCUGGUGACUUGGCAGGAUUAUUCUUGCCUGUAAGAAUAUGAAUCAGGGCUCCACACUUUCCGGACAUUUAUCUUUGUUUUCGAUCAUUUGAGGCUGAAUCCACACCUUGGCCACUCAUCCCUCCACUGUUCUAUCUUUCCUUGAUAAGAAGAGAGUAAGAAGUAGACGGGCUGUGAGUUAUGUUGUUAGCACGAAGGGCCUUUCUACAUUGUUUUUUCUCUUUUUACAGUUUAUCUUACAUUCCCAGUCAUCCAGCAGAAUUGUAAACUGGUAGUUUGAAGGGGCUGGUACAGCUCUUCUCUCAGAUAGUCCUUAUGCCUCUGACAGAAUGCUUCCUGGCCAUGGGACUGACUGUCGAGAAAGACAAUAUAGCCUGUGGGAUGUGGCUGGUUUGGGAGGUUUUUGAGUCUUGACGCUGUGAUUUGGUGUUAUGUGUUCUUGUCCUCUCUCAACCUAAGUUAUUGAAUUUGCGAAAUGGGGCUAAUAAAGCAUUCAAUUCAGGUUGACAGUAGGCUAGGAGAGCACUGCCACCGUGUCAGCAAGGACAAGGUGUAGCUGCCACACUGCCAAGACCCAGCACCCCCUAAAGUGACUCAGCUAAGAAGGCAGUCCCGGAAGGGCAGCCUAAAUUGUGCCCAAAAGGCACAGAGGUGACCCAGGCUGAUGUUCCAUCAAGCUGUUGGAGCAGCGGGUAGGGGGACCCCUCCCUCAGUGGCUACUCGGGAAGGAGGAGGAAGUAAUGCGCAGGUGCUGAGAUGAUGGCUCCCAUUUCGGACCUGACAUGCAGGAUUUCUGUGACUAUCCGCAAGUUAUUUCAUGUUUUUAAGCUUCAUUUUCUUCAUCUGCAAAUUGAAACAAUAAAAUCUAUUUGGAGAGUUCCUGAGAAGCUUAAAGUAAUGGAGUGAAAGCAUGACAAGGGUUUAGCAAUGGGCUUAAUAUGUAGCAAGUGCCUAAAAAUGGUAGCUUAAGGCAAACAAGUAGCUGGAAGACAGCAGAGUUUGGGGAGAUGGAUCCAUUCCUGGUAGAACCCCUGCCCAUAAGAGGACAGAUGAAAGGGACGGGCUCUCUCUUUGCGAUGGGUACUAGUGAGCGCCAACAAGCCCAGCCUAGCCAUUGGGGCAUGGGCUCAGGCUCUGUUCUUAAGGUGGCCAUGCUGUUGGACGGAAUUAGGAUGUGGAUAUCAGGCUUCAUCCGGAAAUUCUCAGAGACCUGUAUCUUGUACUAUGUGACAGGAUGCCUGAGGCUUUGCAAGGGAGAGUAUUAUGCUGGUUGGCCUGUCGGAGUCUCCAUGAUGCAUCCCCACCACCCACCUCUCCAGUUCUCAGGGUGAGUUUCCUGUUCAAGCAUUUAGGUGGGGACUGAAUGCAACUUUCGAGAAUUGACUUAGAGCUUGGGGGAACCAGGAGGCAGCUGACACUUCCCCUAGUUGCUCACAACUUGUGUUGACUGAAAAAUACUGCCAUAUAAGUCUCUCCAUGACCUGACUUCUCCCCAUGUUUUUAGCCAGGCUCUUCUUCACAAUUUAAGCUUUGAUGAUAUCCCCAUUUAUACCAUGCUGAUUUAUGCCUCCAUAUCUUUGUUCUUCCCAAACCUUCAGCCUGCAAUGCUUUUCCUGCAUUUCUUCAUCUGGACAGCUUUCAACAUUCCUCAAGGCUCAGCUGAGUAAUCACUUCCUCCAGGAUGCCUUCCCUGAGUCCAUGGGAUAAAAAUAGCAACCAAUUGGGGCGCCUGGGUGGCGCAGUCGGUUAAGCGUCCGACCUCAG